rnacentral:lncRNA from 12 species
UCAAUUAAAAGCCCAUCAGUCUGCCGUGAGUUUUUCAAUGAAAAGCCUUAUCUGAGAAGGCUUCACAUCUUGUGAGGAUGAAUAAGAGGCAGGACGGCAGCUUUACUACCUUA